ACAACCAGGAUGUUGGCUUAGAAGCAGCCACUCAUUCAAAGAGUGCGUAAUAGCUCACUGGUCGAGUGAUCCUGCGCCGAAGAUUUCCGGGGCUAAAACUUACUACCGAAGCUACGGCAUCAAUAAUGAUGGGUAGGGGAGCUUCCCAUACGGGUUGAAGCAUGACCGUAAGGACAUGUGGACAGUAUGGGAGUGAGAAUGUUGGCAUGAGUAGCGAGAUGUGGGUGAGAAUCCCACAGGCCGUAAACCCAAGGUUUCCAGGGGAAGGUUCGUCCGCCCUGGGUUAGUCGGGACCUAAGCUGAGGCCGAAAGGCGUAGGUGAUGGACAACAGGUUGAUAUUCCUGUACUACCGAUAACCGUUUGAGAGAAGGGAUGACACAGUAGGAUAAGCUAAGCACACUGUUGGUUAUGUGUGCCCAAGCAUUGAGGCAGUCAAAGUAGGCAAAUCCGCUUUGAUAAUGCUAGGAUGUGAUGGGGAGCGAAAUUUAGUAGCGAAGUAGCUGAUUUCACACUGUCAAGAAAAGUCUCUAUCGAGGUUAAAGGUACCCGUACCGCAAACCGACACAGGUGGGUGAGGAGAGUAUCC
rnacentral:rRNA from 1 species